rnacentral:rRNA from 1 species
GAUGAACGCUGCCAGAAUGCUUAACACAUGCAAGUCAACUUGAAUUUGGGUUUUUACCUUCGGUUUGGGUGGCGGACGGGUGAGUAACGCGUAAAGAACUUGCCUCACAGCUAGGGACAACAUUUGGAAACGAAUGCUAAUACCUAAUAUUAUGAUAAUAGGGAAUCUUAUAAUUAUGAAAGAUAUAAGCGCUGUGAGAGAGCUGUGCGUCACAUUAGCUAGUUGGAGAGGUAACGGCUCACCAAGGCGAUGAUGGGUAGCCGGCCUGAGAGGGUGAUCGGCCACAAGGGGACUGAGACACGGCCCGUACUCCUACUUCAAUACACAUUUAUUAAUCUUACACAAUACACCAAGAAUCUCAUCCAGCAAUUCUGUGUGCAAGAUGAAGUUUUUCGGAAUGUAAAUUGCUUUCAAUUUAUAAGACACAAAUAACUUUCCCCCCAAAACAAGUGACGGCUAAAUACCUG